rnacentral:lncRNA from 1 species
CAAAUCUCAAGCCUUUGCUUCCAAGUCAAAAAACUAUGCAAAUUUGUACUAUACAAGCUGUCUCUAAGUGUCCCUUUUUCCAUGUACUCAUAAACAAGUAUCAUCUCAUACCUUUCAUCACAAUAACCGAUUAAGGAAACAAGGUGUCUGUGACGAAUCUUGGACAAAACCAUUAUCUCAGCUUCAAACUCAGGAAAUCCUUGACCUGACUCUUGCUCACUUCUUUUCACUGCAACACUCAUUCCAUUCUUGAGAACUCCCUUGUAAACAUUUCCAAAACCACCUUUUCCAAUUACCCUCUUCGCAUUGAAAUUCUCCGUUGCCAAUUGUAGAUCACGCAAGGAGAUUUUCAAUCCAAGGUUAAUAUUAUCAGCUAAUCUGCCGUGAGAACUCCCUCCUGCAGAAGCUCGAGUCGGCAACCAUUUGUAAUUCUCAACAGGCUUUUGUUUCCUGUAUUUACAGAUCCAAAUAAACAAAACCACCACUACAGAAACCAAAACGAAACCUCCAACGACCGAACCCACCACCACAGGAAGACUAAUCUUCUUCGAAUUGGAAUCCGAAUCAUAUAAGGGAAUUGAACCAGACAAUUCUAUCACUUUCAUCAGUUCUAGCCCGUUUAGAAAAGCGUUCGGUUUAGCAACCGUCAUAUUAGGUACCACGCUAACUUUCAAUAGUCCAGAACCAUCUGAACGAACCACAAAAUCAUAAUAAUAAGCAGAAGACACAUCUGCACCAUCAUUUACAGUAAUAACAGGCUGGUCAUAAAUGUUGAGAAUGAAAAGUGUAAGUAGACUCUGUUGGUUAAAAAUGUCACAAAAGUGAAGCCUGAGGAAAUGAUCUGUAUUCUUCUCAACAGGAACACUCCAACUUAUGUUUAAACCGAUAGAACCAUUUUUACUCUCUUUGGCAGUUUGAUAAACAACAUCGGGAGCAGUAUAUUUAUUUGAAUAUGGACCAUCAGAUUCAUCAUCUGCAUUGCGCUUAAUUGUAACUCCAACAUAGGUACUAUUAGCGUUUUGUGGAUCAGUUAUAUAACUGUCAUCUGGUAACCAUUCUCUCAUUAAGUUAUCGGAUAUUCUAUCGACAGCUUCACCACCAACGUUAAGACGGUGUAUGGUUUCCAAAGCUCUUGAGUGUAAGCCGCCAGUAUAAUUAGAUAAGCUUAGACCAGCAGAACCGGAGUAAUUGAAUCGCUGGAUUGAAUCCGGGAUUAAAUGAAUGGGGAGCAUAAAGAGCUCUAUGGCAUUAACAAAUGCAAAUGAUGAGUUUUGGGGUGUGAACAUUAUUUUGAAUCUAUUUCCGAUGAUUUUAACGAAAUAUUCUUUUAUUACAACAGUGUUGGUGGUGUUUUCAGCGUCAAAAUUUUGCAACAGAGAGAAACCAGAAACGGAAAUGUUGAAUUUUGCUUUGUAAAGGUUACUUGCUGAAGAGAAUGAAAAGAAAUGGAAACGUACCAUGUAGGUGUUGUUUGGGAUGGUAAUGAAUUUGUACGAAGAUUCGGAACGGAAAAUUCUUACUGUUUGGUAGAGAGGUGAAGGCACGAUUGAUUGAUUGGUUUCUGUGUAGCUAUUGCUGAAAUUUGGUUUAGGGUAAUUAUGGUUUGAUUCACCAAUAUAAACUUUGUUAUUACUUUGGUCAACCGUAACGUCGUUAUUUGAGCCGCAUUUGAUGAAGUAUAUGUCUUGAGGAUCAUAUGCAAGUGAGGGGACUUGUAGUGAUGAGAAUUGAAGAAGAAAAGCCGCAAGUAGAAAUAUAGUGUGUUGAAUUUUGUGGAGGUGAUGAGUUGCCAUGGUGAGAGUGAGAGAGGAAAUUGUGUUAGUUUGAUGAUUUUUUAAGCUAUGAUGAUAUUGAUGAUUGCAAUUCAUAUAAGUAGGGAGGGAUCGACUAAGAUAAGUGGAUGACUUGAGUUGUGGCUGUGUUUAAGUCGUUAGCUUUGAAUUUUCUUCUUCCUUGUUUGUUUCUCUUCUUACUUUUAAAUAUGUGGAAGUUGAUUUAUCAACUUUUAGUACUUGAACUGUUUUUUGGAUUUUCUCAUAAAAAAAAAAUUGUUUAAACUUUCAAUUAUUAUGGUAUGAUUUAAGAAAAAAAGAGAUUCAUAUAGUAGAGCUUAUCUGUACCUGUAAAGUAGGAUAUGUAACUUAUUUGUACCUAUAAGGGGUAUUAUUUAGGUAUUGAUUUUUUAGAAGUUCUAUAAGGGGUAUUAUUUAGGUGUUGAUUUUUUAGAAGAACAAAAGUAUGUUGGAAAAAUCAAAAUUUACAGAUUGUAUAGCAAUUUUUAAGCUUGGAAUAUAUUGAACACUAGCAAGUUCUAGUAUUGAUACUGUACAGAAUAUUGAGAAAGUGAAACAUGAGAGAAAACUUCAUUGAUAAAAAGUGAAUAUUCACAUAAUGAGUAAUUACAAAUUUACAAUGUGUUUAUGGUAUUUAUGCUACAAUUCAUUGUAACCAGCUUAAGCUAAUGCGAGCUAGAUCACAUGGAAUCAAAACUACCUUUCCCUAGAUUCAAGGAAACAGUUAUAACUGUAUUUCUAGGUAGGGGAACUAGAUUGCUUGUGCUCCAAGUAAAAGGGGUGUACGGUGUUCUUCUCGUGAUCAACAGAUCCAGCUUCUAUUGCAUUUGUGCUUGAUUCUUUGUCACUUAACACAAAAUGGGUGAUAGCUCUCAAGUCUCGAGUUUUUACUUAUUGGUUACAUUAUGUGUUUAUUUGACUUGAUUAGUUUAACUGUAAAUUAAAAAGUCAAGGAGUGUGAAAUUCAACUCGUAUAUACAAUGGUACACAAACAACCAAGUGAUUGAGCCUGGUUUGUACAAGAUUUGAUUCUCUUUACAUUUUUGUUCUCUAAUCCCAAAUUUUAGUAACCAUUGAGCUGGUAGAAGCUAUGUAAUUACUGCAUCUAAGUUUCUCUCUAAACUUAACCUGCGGAGUAAAUAGGAAAUGAUGAUAUUAUAUAAUAUAAAACAGAAUCACACUAAAGGUAGGAAUUAAUAACAUCACUAGCUUGCAUUCAUCAUUCUGAGAUUAUGGUUACUAUAAAGAAAUGUAUUCAGUAACUGCUAGGCCAACAAUGCCACUCUCAUUUUCUUUGUACAAAGUGAUUAAUUUAUUGGAGUCAAAAUCAAUCCUUUAAAACCCAGAAUCAAUAAUGUUAAAUCUCCAGAAAUACUAAAAUUCAUGAAUGACCAUUUUUUUUUUACACCAAAUUCAUGCAGCUUGGCUCUUCUAUCCGUUCAUUCAUUAGCACACCUCAUCCUCCUAGUCCUAACCAUAAUUCAUCAGUCCUAUAUACGUACACAGGCAAUUGCUUGUAGCUGUCCAUAAUAACAGCAGUGGCAAAAUUUUCCAGCAAGUUCACCUGCUAAUAGUUUAAACUCCUUAACUUGCUUACUGCCGCAUGAUUUAUGAAUAUCCCUUUAAUCUCAGUCAAUUCCUUCCAACCAUUUAUCCAAAACUGAUGCCACAGUCUCCUCCAGAUAAAUCCUCUCAGCUUUAAUUCGCCGCAUAUCUCACAUUCAACCAUGCUCACCAUGAGUCUUCAAUCCAUUUAUGCUUGUGUUAUGAUGACCAAUUAGUUGUGGAGUUUGGUCUUCUAGAUUAACAUGUACUUUGUCUGAGAGAACCAUUUUGAUAUCUUUAUGUCUCCUUCUGAUAAUGAGAUUUAGUAAUGGAUGGUGGCAUGUCCGUGUGACUAAGUGACCAUAACCUCUUUAUAUAUAACCUAGAUUUGUUUAUCAUUUAGUCUCUAUACAAUAAGGGUUUACUUCCUAUUAGAUACAAGCCCAAAUUAUCCCAAUCUUAUUAGAUCACCUUUAAUUGGAAAUAAGCAACAAUAUACAAUAUAAUUAUUCACAUAUAAACAUAAUUUGCAUCCCAUUGAUACCCAAAAAAUGGUGAAGAAAACUUAAUCAUAUACUAGUAUAGUGCAUUGCAUUGUUGGCCACAGUAUAGACUAUAUACAUUGGUGCAAGCAUUCAAAUAAGUUCUGUAUAUAAUGCAUCUAAUUACAAUUGUUUAUUGCAAGCAUCAGAAAUAGACAUAAUCAUCAUUAAUCAUACAAUUAAGAAUAGACCAACAACCAUAUCUAAGAAAAUAAGGACAAAAUAGAGAUGCGGACUGUCUAAACAAAACAACUCCUCCACUUGAGGCACUAGAAAGUUGAUCAUUGUAUCUUGAAGGACUUGAAAUGAAAUUCUAUCUAGCAUCAUCAAUUUUCAACUGAGAGAAAACUGAAUCUUCUGCACUAUUUGAUUCAUCAUUAACCAUCCCAAUAGACAUAUCAUCCAUUUCAGUCAGUGUAGACAGAGAAGGUAAACGGCGAACAUUAGGCAAUUGAAUUGAUACAGAAGCACUGCUAGAACUAUCCUCAUGUGGUUCUCUAUGUACUGCACCUCUCUGAAGCUGCAAAGCAUAUUCCAAGUCCCACAACACAUCGCCCAUUGAUGGCCGAUCAGAGCCAUCAUCUUGUAAGCAUUUAUCCACUGUCUCACUAAACUUUCUAAGUGAGUUUGGUUCAAUUUGUCCCUUGAUGGAAGGAUCAAUGAUGUCUUCAAGUAUCCCUUUGUCUUUGCAAAAUAUUCCCCACUCAGCCAAGUUCACCUGUUCCCUUGGAAGCGACGGGUCAAUGGCUGUUCUCGCACACAACACUUCGAGUAGAACCACACCAAAUGAAUAAACAUCAGAUUUUUCUGUAAGCUGUUGUGAUCUAAAGUACUCAGGAUCAAGAUAUCCAAAAGUUCCUUUAACACCUGUGCUGACAUAAGAAUGCUGAUCAAGAGGACCACUUCUUGAAAGACCAAAAUCAGCAACUUUAGCUACAAGAUUCUCAUCAAGCAAUAUGUUUGUAGAUUUCACGUCACGGUGAAUGAUUCCACCAGCUGCACCUUUGUGUAGGUAAUGAAGACCUCUCGCAGCCCCAAUACAAAUCUCAAGCCUUUGCUUCCAAGUCAAAAUAUUAGUCAAAUUUGUACUGUACAAGCUGUCUCUAAGUGUCCCUUUUUCCAUGUACUCAUAAACAAGUAUCAUCUCAUACCUUUCAUCACAAUAUCCAAUUAAGGAAACAAGGUGUCUGUGACGAAUCUUAGACAAAACCAUUAUCUCAGCUUGAAAUUCAGGUAGUCCUUGACCCGACCCUGGCUCACUUCUUUUCACUGCAACCGUCAUUCCAUUCUUGAGAACUCCCUUAUAAACAUUUCCAAAACCACCCUUUCCAA